GCAACUGCAUCAUCUUGAGCAACAGAACCCACUUCUUGUCACAUCGCUCCAACCUAUAGAGUAGUUCUGUUCUUGAAGGCAAAAGAUGUUUUCUCCAUUUCAGAUGAAUCCUGUUGGGGAAGCCCUUUCUGCAGAUUCUGAUGCCCUCCAGCACACCGUUACAGCGCAGCUGGUGCAUGACCAGAGGAUUCUCCAUCGCCCCAGGAGUCUUGGUCUCAUUGGGGAUGAUGCAGCGCACAAAGUGAGGAAGUCUCACAGGUGACUUUAUCACCAUCGCGACUGAUGAUAGAUGCCUUAAUGAAUUCCUCUUCAGUAUCAGGGACGAAACAUUCUUUCUUCA